rnacentral:rRNA from 1 species
UACGUAGGGGGCAAGCGUUGUCCGGAUUCAUUGGGCGUAAAGCGCGUGUAGGCGGCCAGGUAGGUCCGGUGUGAAAACUCGAGGCUCAACCUCGAGAGGUCAUCGGAAACCAUCUGGCUAGAGUCCGGAAGAGGAGAGUGGAAUUCCCGGUGUAGCGGUGAAAUGCGCAGAUAUCGGGAAGAACACCUAUGGCGAAGGCAGCUCUCUGGGACGGUACUGACGCUGAGACGCGAAAAGCGUGGGGAGCGAACAGG